rnacentral:tRNA from 1 species
ACUAUUUUGACAGAAAAAUGUGUUGAUUUUAGAAAUCAUUUAUAUAUAAUUUAAUUAUAUAUAUAGUA